AUGCUCAAAAUUGAUUUAGCUAAAGCUUUUGACAGAAUUGAGUGGAAUUUCAUAGCUUGAGCUCUUUCAUGUAAAGGUCUUCAUGCCCAUUUUAUAAAUCUUGUGCAUGCUUGCAUAUCUUCGCCCACUUUCUCGGUUAUCAUUAAUGGUCAGUCUUUUGCUCGCUUUAAAAGUAGCGGAGGCAUUAGACAAGGCUUCCCCCUGUCCCCAUCACUUUUUGUCCUUGCAGUGAAUGAACUCUCUUUGGCGCUACAGGAUGCACUUCAAGACAAUCACUCAGGUAUCUCCCUUGGACCAAACUGUCCUCCUAUACAUUUAAUGUUCGCAGAUGAUCUGCCUGUAUGUGGCAAAGCUACCAUGCAGUAAGCAACUUACAUAUCCUACAUUUCUAAUCAAUUUUGCCAUAAUUCAGGACAUCUUUCGAACUGGUCCAAAUCCGGUAUGAUGUUUAGUAAAAAGGUUAGUUUGUAG
rnacentral:rRNA from 1 species